UUGUCUGCCUGUCUGCCUGGAGGAC
rnacentral:misc_RNA from 1 species